UACCAGCCCCCCGAGUGGUCGGGACGUUUAUUGGGCCCAAAGCAUCCGUAGCCGGUUCUACAAGUCUUCCGUUAAAUCCAACUGCUUAACAGGUGGGCUGCGGAAGAUACUAUAGAGCUAGGAGGCGGGAGAGGCAAGCGGUACUCGAUGGGUAGGGGUAAAAUCCGUUGAUCCAUUGAAGACCACCAGUGGCGAAGGCGGCUUGCCAGAACGCGCUCGACGGUGAGGGAUGAAAGCUGGGGGAGCAAACCGG
rnacentral:rRNA from 1 species